rnacentral:rRNA from 1 species
UACGGAGGGUGCAAGCAUUGAUCGGAAUUACUGGGCGUAAAGGGCGCGUAGGCGGCAAAGAAAGUCGGAUGUGAAAUUCCGGGGCUCAACCCCGGAGCUGCAUUUGAAACUUCUUAGCUAGAGUUCAGUUGGGGUAAACGGAAUUCCACGUGUAGCGGUGAAAUGCGUAGAUAUGUGGAAGAACACCGGUGGUGAAGACGGUUUACUGGGCUGAGACUGACGCUGAGGCGCGAAAGCAUGGGGAGCAAACAGG